rnacentral:misc_RNA from 1 species
AAGUCGUAACAAGGUCUCCGUUGGUGAACCAGCGGAGGGAUCAUUACAGAGUUGCAAAACUCCCAACCCUUUGUGAACGAACCUACCAGUUGCCUCGGCGGCGAGCCCCCUGGGCGGACCGCCUGAGGAAUACAAACUCUUUGCAUUACAGUAUCUCUGAUUACUUAUUCAAUAAGUUAAAACUUUCAACAACGGAUCUCUUGGUUCUG